rnacentral:rRNA from 1 species
UACGGAGGGUGCGAGCGUUGUCCGGAAUCACUGGGCGUAAAGGGCGCGUAGGUGGUGGCUUAAGCGUGCGGUGAAAGCUCGGAGCUCAACUCCGAGUCGGCCGUGCGAACUGGGCUCACUGGAGCAUAGUAGAGGCAGGUGGAAUUCCGGGUGUAGCGGUGGAAUGCGUAGAGAUCCGGAAGAACACCGGUGGCGAAGGCGGCCUGCUGGGCUAUGGCUGACACUGAGGCGCGACAGCGUGGGGAGCAAACAGG